rnacentral:rRNA from 1 species
AUGAGAGCAAUCCUGGAAGCGGAGGUCACACGGGAAGAAGUGAAGGCGGCGCUCGACCACAUUGGUGACUUGAAGGCCCCGGGUCCUGACGGGAUGCCCUCAAUCGUCUACAAGAAGCAUUGGCAUUUCAUGGGGGACAAAGUGGUGGAUGAGGUGAUUGCGGUACUGAACGGAGGAGCUAUGCCGCCAGGGUGGAAUGACACGGUUGUGGUUCUCAUUCCCAAGGUCAAGAAUCCCAACAGAAUCAAGGACCUUCGACCGAUAAGUCUCUGCAACGUGAUUUAUAAGUUAGUCUCAAAGGUAAUUGCCAACCGCCUCAAACUGGUGCUCCCGGACAUUAUCUCCUUGAACCAGAGCGCUUUUAUUCCUGGUCGGAUGAUAACCGACAAUGUGUUGGUGGCUUACGAAGUGUUGCACUACCUACUGAACAAAAAGAAAGGGAAGGAGGGUAUAGCAGCAGUGAAAGCGGAUAUGAGCAAAGCUUAUGACAGGGUUGAGUGGGAGUUCUUGAGGGCAAUGUUGAGUAAACUAGGCUUCGGUACUCGUUGGAUCGACUUGGUCAUGCACUGUGUUUGCUCGGUAAGGUACCAGAUCAAGGUCAAUGGCGUUUUAACCGAACAGUUUUCUCCCUCCCGAGGUCUCAGACAAGGGGAUCCAGCCUCGCCAUAUUUGUUUGUCAUCUGUGCGGAGGGAUUGUCAGCCCUGUUACAUGACGCGGAGGAGACGGGAAAGAUCACCAGAGUCAGGAUCUGUCCACAAGCACCGGUGGUGUCGCAUCUUCUCUUCGCUGACGAUUCGGUCCUUUUGUUGAAAGCCAAACAAUCUGAGGCCCAAGAACUGCGCCGUUUGCUGGAUCUCUACGAGGCAUGCUCGGGGCAGUGA